UACGGAGGGUGCAAGCGUUAUCCGGAUUCACUGGGUUUAAAGGGUGCGUAGGCGGGCAGGUAAGUCAGUGGUGAAAUCUCCGAGCUUAACUCGGAAACUGCCAUUGAUACUAUUUGUCUUGAAUAUUGUGGAGGUAAGCGGAAUAUGUCAUGUAGCGGUGAAAUGCUUAGAUAUGACAUAGAACACCAAUUGCGAAGGCAGCUUACUACACAAUGAUUGACGCUGGGGCACGAAAGCGUGGGGAUCAAACAGG
rnacentral:rRNA from 1 species